UCACAGAGCCGGACAAGCGGGAGACGACUGAGCCACAGCAGCGAGUCUUUACAGAACAAGAUAUCCAAACUGCAAUAUAGAAUGAACGCAAAUAUCUCCGUUUGCUGCUUGUCUCUGCUUCUGCUGCUUCAUUUCGUAAGGGCCAAACCAGUUUCUGACCUCCAGAAUUUGAAGCAGCUGCUGGAGGAGAUCAACACAGCGCAGUACUACCCGUCCUCCGAGGAGAUGGAGGUGAAAAGAGACAAGUCGGUGUUCGGAGCUCCAGAGCAGGAUCCCUGGAGCUCCUCCGACCACAGCAGCCCCUCCGACCCGCCGGCGGCUAAAGAAAACGUUCUCGCAAGUCUCUUAAGAGACCUCAUGAGGACGUCGAAGCGUUCUUGGAGUCGCUACAAGAAGGGCGGGCUGAGGAGCUGCUUUGGUGUGCGCCUGGAGAGGAUCGGCUCCUUCAGCGGGCUGGGAUGCUGAAGGUUAAACAUAAUGCAGCACACACGCACACGACCAACGCAUGAAGGCAGAAGGCAGAAGGCAGGCAUAACUUUGGGCAGGAAUGGAUGACGCUACACUGUGACCACAUCCAACAGCAUAGCUCCUCACCGUCACACAGCCCUGACUGGCACAUUAAAGGAUGCUUACUUCAGUCUGUCCUUGUUUCUCAUGCAGAACUGUGAUUCCCUUUUUCACAUGUGAGCUGUUGAAUAUUAAAUGAUUGUAAAUGUAUUUAUUAUUAUUUAAUUGAUUUAAUUUAAUUGUUGGAUAGAGUUGCCUUGUAAUAGAAUGUAUUGUAGUAAAAUAAUUAUUUUGCAUAAUUACUGAGUCUGAAUUUCUUUGCUGGCCACACCUUUUUCAGAGGGACUAUCGUCAUACAGUGCACAUUAAAUAAACCUGUGUGGUAGAUGGGAACACAUUUUAUUGAAAUGUUUUAAAUUUUCUAACCCUAACCCUAACCCAGAAA